AUUGAACGCUGGCGGCAGGCCUAACACAUGCAAGUCGAACGAGUGGCGGACGGGUGAGUAAUGUCUGGGAAACUGCCCGAUGGAGGGGGAUAACUACUGGAAACGGUAGCUAAUACCGCAUACCAUCGGAUGUGCCCAGAUGGGAUUAGCGAGUAGGUGGGGUAAAGGCUCACCUAGGCGACGAUCCCUAGCUGGUCUGCGAGGAUGACCAGCCCAACGUUAACGGUGCCACGGUCCCGACUCCUACGGUUGGCAGUAGUGGGGAAUAUUGCACAAUGGGCGCAAGCCUGAUGCAGCCAUGCCGCGUGUAUGAAGAAGGCUUUCGGGUUGUAAAGGACUUGCAGCGGGGAGGCGUUACCCGCAGAAGAAGCACCGGCUAACUCCGUGCCAGCAGCCGCGGUAAUUC
rnacentral:rRNA from 1 species